ensembl:lincRNA
AUGCUGGGGACCGUAGUCUUUGGCCCCCGGACCAGCCUGUCCUACAGGUCGCUGUGCGCCCGCCCAGAUGUGAGGAUGGUGGAUUUCAUUAGCCCGGGAGAUGAAGAAACAAAAAUAAACAUCGUUAGACAGCAUCUUUCCAUUUCCAGCACAGACUGGUUCCAACAGAGCAGACAAGCUUUAAGGAAGAAACCAAACCUGAAUCCUUUAAAACUCACAAUCCUAGCCAAUGAAUGGAAAGAAUGCAGGAUCUACCGAAAUGAGUUUCAGUGUAUGAGGGAGUAUUUGGAGUUGGUCUCUAUUCAGGAGCUCUGGGAAUUGAUCCUGAAACGCUGGAUUGAAGACUAUAGUUGGACUCUUAAGCCAGAAAAGGCAAAUUCUGGAACUGUGUCUUCGGCGGAAGGGCUGGAGGGCUGGGUGGCCGACGCUCUGUGCUUACUGUGUGUCGCGCACUAUGGGCUGACCGAGGAUGAGCUACUCCAGCUUCUGGACAUGCUGGGCUACAGGAAUCAUUACAAAGUGACCACACUGCACUGGGCUGCCUUCCGCAACGCCACCAAACACUGGGUCCAGGAGAAGCCGAGUGGGGUCCUGUACUUCCGGCACCAGUCCCUGCGCAAUGCUGUGGAGCACAAGCUCCUUGGUGUAGUCACUCCUGUCAGAGAAAGCAGUCCAUAUGCAUCUCAGAACUCAGUGAAUCAGAAGAAAACACAUUUUCACCAAAUCUUGAUGAGAUACUUCCAGCGGCAGACCACUUUCUGGAGAGUGUAUCAAGAAUUGCCGUGGCAUAUGAAAAUGAGCGGGUGCUGGAAUGGGUUGUGCGACUUUCUCUCAAGCCCUAGGUAAGUCUCGCCAUUUUUCUAUCAUUGUAUGUAGGCAGAUUUAGCUUUUCCUUAGAUACCCAUGGUUCCAUUGAGCAAGAUGUGUUCAUUCACUUACUCAUUCAACCACCCACUCAUUCAUUCGGAUGGGCCAUCGCCUUGCAUCGACUUCUGUGGUUGGCGGAUCCCCGGGGUUGCUCCACUGGAUCUGUCUGGCGCUGCAGAGUGUUUCUGUCCUCUCUUCACGCCACAUGGAUUCCUCUCAGAGUUAAGUGGCAUUCUGGAGAGUUGGAAAGGGAUAAAGGAUUGGCCAUGUUCUCCUGCUAAACUCUUAUUUUCUUCCCUUCCACCCCCUUCUUUCCCCUUCUCUUCCCUCCCCCAUCCCCCUUUCCUUCCCUGCCUCUUCCUUCUUUCCCUCCUAUGCAUUUAACUCAGCAAAUAUCUCCUUAUGACCCACUCUGUCUCCCAUGAGGUCCCAGGCCCUGAGGGUGCAGAAGUGAAUAGACACAGCCCCAAGCCCUUAGGUGCUUUCCUUCUAGUGGGGGAAGAUGCUGAGCCAGCCAGAGAAUUCCUAUACAUGGUGGUAAGCGCCUCACUAGAGCAGUGGCACAGUGAGCUGUGCGGCACAGAUGAGGGAGGGGUCAGCUCUGCCUGGUAGACCCGGGGAGCCUGCCCAGAGGAGGGGGCGCCUGCACAGAUGAGCAGAAUUGGCUUUGGCUGCCGAAGAGGGCAGGGCUUAUCCUUAUCUGGUGACCUACCCAAGUCAUGUCAGGAAAGAAGUUUAUGCAAUAGGCUUAUGAAAUGUGGCAAAUGGAAGACGAGCUUCCUUCAAGGCAUGAAAGAGUAAAAUUCUGUGUAUUAAUACAUUGUGUCACAAGUAUCACAGACUUUAUAUCAAGAAUCCAAGGCCUGAGCUUCUGGACAAGGCUGCACCUCACUCACUACUGGAGCAUCUUAUUGGAAGCCGGAUGUGAUGUUUCUGGGGCCUAUUUACUCUCGGUGGCCAAGAUUAAAGCAGAUCGGUGCCAUAAAGUGAAGAAGAGACUUACGCUCUCAGGUACAGUGAGCGACGAUGUUUCAGUGGUUCAUUUUGCUGGGACACAGAGUGGCCCAAAGUUACUGUUCUCCUGUUUCCUCACACAAUUCUGAUCACUCAAACAGACCUCUCUGAUUUCUCUUCCCUACAACUGAAGCCAACAGUUUCUGAAGACAAGAAAUUGGGACAAAUUAUUCAUUUUGAAAUUGCUUCUCUUUAUCCUCUUGCAGUUGGCUGUUUUCCAGGGCUUUCUCCUUAACCUCCUUUUCUCUCUGUGCUUUCUCCUGGCUUCAACCACAGCCCUCGCCUCCCUUCUUUAUCUGUAUUUCCAGCCUUGACUCCUUUCAGAGCCCGUUUCAUGAGAAGCUACUAAUAGUAUUCUUGCCUGACCAACAGCUUUCUGAGUGACCGGCUGACAUUUCAAAUUAAAUAGGUGAAAACCUAAAUUAUUACAGGGUACUUCCCCAAAAUUUGUUCUUUCUGUGUUUCCUCUGCCUACUCAUGGAAGCGCUAACUUUCUCCACCGUUCAGUACAGAAAAUGGUACUGUUGAGGGUGGCCUCAACCCAAGUGGGGACAACCGUGCUUUGACUUUCUGCUUAUGUGACUUGGAUUUGGAUAGCUCUAUGGUUAAUAUUUCCUCCUUUCAUUCUCCAUAAGUAGGUCCCUUUGCCUGUCCUUCCUUUCAUCCUAUAUUUCUUGGUUUAUUAAGCAGAAUAAUAACCUUUAUUCAUUCUUUCAACAAAUACUAAGUGAAGGCCUCCCUGGGCCAUGAACUGAUAGACUCCCUGACACAGCAAUGACCUAGGCAAAUGGAGUCCCUGCCUUUGUGGGGUUUACAGUCAAGUGAGCAUAGCAGAUUUUGAGCAUUUGUUAUAUGCCAGACUCUAAGUACUUUAUAUAAAUCAGUUUGUUUAAUUUUCAUAAAGCUGCUAUAAUACUAGUAGUAUCUUGAGUGAAAUUAAGGAAACUGAGUCUCAGAGAGGUAAGUUUCCUGAGGUCUCCCAGAGAGUGAGGAACAGAUUUGGGCUUUACCACACCUGUAUCCAUUUUGGUCUUUAAACGUUUUGCCUUUACCUUUAUUCUUAUUGCUGUGAGUAUAUAUGCAGUUUUGGAAUUUGCCUGAUCCAAUAAUCAGGCACUACUCACAAGGAUACAAGUGUGUUGAAUACAGUCAGUACGCAUCUGGAAAUGUGUUUAUGCUUAGGGGGAGG